AAUGCAACGAGUAAUGAUGUCAUGGUGAGACUCUUAAAGCGAUGGCUACAUGACCAAGGAUUACUACAUUUGGGUGGACAAUUGUUUCAUGUGCGUUGUAGCGCGCACAUAUUGAAUUUAGUUGUUCAGGAUGGUUUGAAGGUGAUUGGUAGUCUUAUUUCAAAAAUCCGAGAAAGUGUGAGAUAUUUAGGGAGGUCUCCUUAUGGAAAACAAAAAUUUGAUGUUGCAGUGAAUCAUGUUAAGUUACAUCAUAAAAAGAAAGUCCCCAUGGAUGUUCCUACCAGAUGGAACUCCACUUAUUCAAUGCUUGAAGCUGCAUUAGAUUUGAAAAGUGCAUUCCACCGCUUAGGGCAAAUUGACAAACAAUAUAAGCACAAUCCUUCUGAGGAUGAGUGGAAUGUAGCAAAUGUGAUUUGUGGGUGCUUGAAGAUUUUUUUUGAUGCUACAUCUCACUUUAGUGGUACCACUUUUCCGACUUCAAAUGUGUUUUUUCCCGAUAUUUGUCUUAUUCAACUUGAAAUGAAAAAAUGGGAGCAAAGUGAGUAUGAUUGCAUUCAAUUGAUGGCUGGUCCAAUGAGAGUGAAAUUUCAAAAAUAUUGGGAAGAAUGUUCUUUGGUGUUAGCAAUUGCAGUGGUUCUUGAUCCGAGAUUUAAAAUGGACUUGGUGGAAUACUACUUUGGGCUUAUUUAUGGUGUUGAUGCUAAUAAGCAUAUUCAGAGGGUCCGUAAUGGUUUUGUUGAUCUUUUUUAUGAGUAUAGGAGUGAUUCUUCUGAUUCUAUGAGUAGCAUUGCACUUGUUUCUGAAAAUAGUAGCUCAAGUGGUAGUCAGUUGCUUGUCGGUUCUUCGAAACAAGAAAGUUUGGCUGCUUUUCAUGCGUGGUAUGCCCAAGAACGUGCUUCUAACAUUCAUGCCUAUCAAAAAUCAGAGGUGGAGCAAUACUUGGAGGAGUUGGUGUUUCCAAGUAAUGAGAGCUUCAAUAUUCUACAUUGGUGGAAAGUGAAUAAAGCAAAAUUUCCUACUUUGGCAAGGAUAGCUCGUGAUGUUUUAAGUGUUCCUGCUACUACGGUUGCAUCAGAGGCGGCGUUUAGUGUAGGAGGUAGGGUGAUUGAUGAGACACGUGCUUCAUUACUUCCAGAUAUUGUGGAGGCCUUGAUCACUUGCCAUGAUUGGAUUGAAUCAACCAAAAAUAGAAAUGUAGAAGAAUGCAGACAUGAGUAGAUGGAUUGAAUUGAAUCGAAUCACUUGAAGUAGAUGGGUAAAUAUGGUUCAGAUUAUGGGGCUUGUCCCAUGCCUUUAUAGUGAUCUAUGAAAUUCGUAUCUGACAUAAUUUGAUAAUCUGUUUGCAUAUUAAGGUAAUAGCUUUCUUGAUUUGCAGGUUUGAUAAUGAGCUUAACAAAGUGGUUGCUAUUAAAGUUAUUGACUUGGAAGAAUCGACCUGCUGAAAUGGUUGAUGAUGUAACAGGUGGACUGAAGCUUCUGUAGGGACUGAUUCAUUAGGGUUGGUAUCUAUCUGACUGCUACGAGUGUUACAUUACAUGGUAGAGUUCUGAGAUCUCAAUUUUAUGGCUGAGAGUGUUACAAAAUCUACUCACUUGAUUGGAGAAUGGGCAGAGGAUCUCGUUGGUGAUCAUGAUGAUGAUGAAAUUUUUUCUGUAUAGAUCCAUUAUCAAUGAUGGAAUUAUUCUUUUUGAGUUGGAUAUGAUUGGUGAUAGUGAAACUAAAUCACAUCACCGUUUAAUUUGCAACCAAGUGAUUGGUUUGUUGCUUUGUAAUGAUGCUCCAUUGUCUCUCAAAACCUGGUGACAUCUUUUGAGUUGUUUUUACACCAUGAAUGCAACAGUGACUUUUGUACUCUAUCUAGGAUAUGAUCAGGUUGAGUUAUUGAGCUGGGUUAGGCUUGUAAGCUUUGAAUUAGACUGCUCAGCUUAGUAUUGUUUGAUUUGAUUUGUAUGUUCAAAAUCCGAGAACAUAUGUUUAGCAUGUGUAAUGAAAUAGACUUGUUUCCAA